GUGACUUUUUCGAAAGCAGUGAUUGCUCUCAAACAGAUUGGAGAUAAUUUCACAUAAAAAUUUUAAAUUUGCUUCGAAAGCAUCGUUGUGAACUUGCUGUUUUAUCAUUUCUUCGUUUUGUUGAAUGAGAAAAAAACAGAAGAACAAGUUUUCUACUUCAGAAAUGUUGGAAUUCGGAAAGAAUUAUGCAGUGACGUGCAAAGUUGCGAGGGAACGAAUGCCAAGAAACGUGAGCGGCUAGUUCACGAAUUGAGGAUCUGCAUCAACUGCACAUGGACUUGAUGGUAUCACCAUCCAAUGAAUGCCCCUCUUCAAUAUUUCAGAUUUGACAAACACAUGUACAGAAAUUAUAUAACAUACUGGAACUUCUCUUAAAUACGUGACAAAAUCGAAUAUUCAAUAAAGUUGACUGUAAAACACUGUGUACCAAUAAAAAUUCUUGUUUUUCUGUGUUUUCA